AUGGUAGCUCACACCUGUAAUCCUAGCCCUCAGGAGGGAGAGCAGGAGAUUUGCUACAAGUUCUAGGUCUGUCUGGGCCUCGCAAUGAGACUGUUUCAAACAAAAUGAUACUUUUAGCCCACUUUUGGCCCAUCCAACCGUAGUUGACUUUUCCAGGGAACAGGGAAGUGGUUGUGGUAAUAACUUACACUAGUAAAUAUCACAGUAAAGGCACAUGAGCAGGUGGCAUUGAGCAACCAAAAUCGACACUUGGAAUUCCAUCUCAGCUCUCAUUCUUAAGCAGUAGGAGCCUCUUACCCUAGAGCAAGAAUUAUAGCUUUGUACCGUUUGAGUAAUGUCAAGUAUUUGGUCAGUCAUUGCUCAGUACAUUAAUUACGUGAAAUGAUGCUUUUCACUAAUAGGUGCAAUCAUCGCUUUCCACAUCACAAAGCAGAAUCUAAGUUGAUUGCCAAACCAUACAAUCCAGAAGCUCUGAGGCUCUCCUGGGCCUGCUGUUGAAUUUCUAAAGAGUUUGCCUUGGAAGAAUCAGACAGCAGGAUGGACUUAGGAGGACACCUAGUGGCAGAGCAGUGGCUGCCCUGGAACUCUCAAUGUAGACCAGGCUAGCCUGGAACUAACAGAGAUCGCCUGCCUCUGACUCCUGGAUACUGGUAUUAAAGGUAUUCAACACC
rnacentral:lncRNA from 1 species